UACGUAGGGGGCAAGCGUUGUCCGGAAUCAUUGGGCGUAAAGAGCGUGUAGGCGGCCCGGUAAGUCCGUUGUGAAAGUCCAGGGCUCAACCCUGGAAUGCCGCUGGAAACUGUCUGGCUAGAGUCCGGAAGGGGCGAGUGGAAUUCCUGGUGUAGCGGUGAAAUGCGCAGAUAUCAGGAGGAACACCUAUGGCGAAGGCAGCUCGCUGGGACGGUACUGACGCUGAGGCGCGAAAGCGUGGGGAGCGAACAGG
rnacentral:rRNA from 1 species